GACGAACGCUGGCGGCGUGCUUAACACAUGCGAGUCGAACGAAAAGCGCUGGAAGCUUGCUUCUAUCAGUCUUAGUGGCGAACGGGUGAGUAACGCGUAAUCAACCUUCCCUUCUGAGGGGGACAACAGUUGGAAACGACUGCUAAUACCGCAUACGAUCUAAUCUCGGCAUCGAGGAUAGAUGAAAGGUGGCCUCUACAUGUAAGCCAUCACUGAAGGAGGGGAUUGCGGCUGAUUAGCACGUUGGAGGGGUAAAGGCCCACGAAGGCGAUGAUCAGGAGACGGUAUGAGAGGAUGGACGGCCAGAUUGGGAGGGAGACAGGGCACAGACGGCUACGGGAAGGAGCAAGAGGGCAACGGGCGGCAGCGGCGGAAAAUUGAGGGCAAAAGGCCGAGGGCGGGAUGAGGGACGUCGGGUUGGAAAGGUCGGUUAUUCGGGAGGAAAGGGCUUUUUGCGAAUAGGGAGAGGGAUUGACGGUACCGGAAAAGAAAGCAACGGCUAACUACGUG
rnacentral:rRNA from 1 species